AGAAACCGAACGGGAUGGCAUCCCAGGCUGACGUGGACACGCCCAGAGCGCGAGAAUACUCCCCCCUUUCAUAGGGGUGAAAAGGGAAAGGGAGAUCUCUAGUGUUGUGCUAAGGAAGGUUGGACAGCUGUUCCCGGAUCUUUGCAAAAGGAAGGUUUUGACGAUCUAUGUGGUGCUUCUGAGAAAAGCAGUACAGGGUUCUAAAUUCAUUUUAGUGUCACCAUACAAGUCAUUUGUAUCGGAGGUGCCCAGCAUUCCUCAGUGGUAACAACCUAUCACCCCUAGCCUCUUGAAUGAUUGUUGCCUGCAUUGUUUUUUCUUUCUUUUUGGUUGUGCAAUUGUUGUCUUAUUCCUGAAGUAAAACACUUGUAGAGAUAUGUUUCAAAUAGUUAACAAAAAUAAAGGGUGUUAUAGUUAAAAACCAGAUGGAUAAAGUACUUUAGUAGUGAUCAAUAAGUUAAUUGAGUGUCCAACCAAUGUGACAAGUGGCAGUUACGCUAUAAUAUUAGAUUGAUGACUGGAGCAAACUGUUUAAUUGGUCAUCUGUUUCGUCAGGUAAUGUUAGGACAUUGAUGAAUCUUUAGCAAAUGCAGGUCAAGAGAAACAUCAGAAUUUUUGUAUGAAAAAUCAAAGUAGCAAGGCAGCUUGUCUAUCCAGACAGACAAAUGUAACUCAUCCACCAUUUCACAUGCAAUCGCAUUGCAAAACAGGACGGUUUUACACAGUUCAGGUCACAAACAAGUCCCUGCACUUCCUGUGGCAAAUGGGCAGGCUUUUACAAAGCUGAAGAUUAAGGGUGGCAGGCUGCACCCAAAAACUCACCACCUACUGCUACUGAACCACAAAAAACAACCUUGGAAUGUCACAUGUUAAUAGCUAUGAAUAUUAGCUCUUAAUUUUAACUUCCUGUGUAACUUGUCCACCCUAGAAAACCCUCACGGUAUGCUUUUUAACAAGAGAAAAUAUUUAAGAGUAUCUACUCUUUCAGAAUGCAUAAAAAAUCUGCUGUUUUCCGAACCUCUUGCAUGUGAAAUGCCUGACAAUAUGUGAUGUUUUCUAUUGGGCCUAUUCUACUUUUUGUUGUGCUAUCCAAAUCUGCUAUUUGUCAUUAUUGACCCCUGAUGUUCCUUUAUAAAUAAAAAAAUUCUGCUCGUGCAUGCGCUGCACCCAUAUGUGAAUAUUUGCAUCUAUUAAACACUAAAAUAGGAAUGCAUGCUUUUGAAAUCAGGUUUAUCUUUUAAAUUAACUAGCUGAAAUGCCCGUGCGUUGCAACGGAACAACAAAAUCAAAUGAUACAUUAAAAAACAUGCAUCAAAACCUCUCUUGCUCUUCUUUAACGAUCAACAAAUAUCCCUUAAAAAAGCCCAUGGGUAUACCGAUGGCUCGCCCGAUUAGUCAUGGGUAGGGUAUGGGUAUAAGUUUAUACCCAUGGAUACCCGAUGGGUCGCCCAGUUUAUAUUUUAAUUAAAUAAUAUUACUUUUAUUAUAUAAUAUGUGGACUCUUUGAUUAUUUUUAGCAAAAUGUGGACUCUUUGAUGCAAUAAGGACUAACGGAUGAACUCUACUAUAAAAUAAAAUAAAGAACAAGUUCAAAAUUGGCCCAAUAUCCCAUAACUCGAUGACCCAUCAACUUGGCUUGUUUGGGCAUCUCUCUCGCUCAGUCAGGCUCACAGAAGAAAGGCAUCGAGACGCCUUCUCCCAUCCCCCAUUCUACACUCAGCCAUCAUCUCUCGUUCUCUCUACUAUGCCCUAGGCACCGCCACCAUUAUCCCCCGCAGCCUGUCUCAUCAGCUUCUUCUAACUAUCGCCAUCUACUCAUGUAAUUUAGCCCUAGGAGGAGACGGCCGUGGCUGGGAAACGGAAGAGGGGACCAUCCAUGGCCGCACCUGAGGAACAGAGGGAACAGCCGUGGCUUCGAUGGGUGCCCGAUUGGGUCUCAUCUUCUGGCUCCUGUAGUGUUUUGGCGAAGCGAUCUUUUUCUCGUCAGAUUCGGAGUUAUUGCCCGACUCUCGUAACGAUCCCGCUGGCUAUGGAUUCCCUCGCGAAGUUCCAUCCAAUUCGGUGCAGGUAACGGGCCAGCCGGCUUAGUAGCCUAAUAUACAUGCAAUCUUGUAGGGCGGAAUUUCUUUUUGGGAAGUUUGACAGACGACGGUGAAGGGAACGGUCCGUAUUUUUUAGAUAGGUAUAGCAUAAUGCCCGUGCGCUGCCACGGUCCAGGCAAGCCAUUUUUGGGUCUUCUCUUCUUUUUCUCUUCUUUUCUUUUUUUCUUCUUGGGCCACACCCGUUCUUCCUUUUGGGCCAGCUUUCCCAAGAGCGCCAAGCCCAUGCCCGCAGGAGCACUCGUGCCCGUCUUCCUCCUCGUGCCAAAAGCAGCACACACACGUGCCGUCUGCCGCAAUCUCCGCCCUCGACGAUGCCUCCUCGGCCCGUGACCCAUCCAGGUGCUCUGAACCAUAUCCCACGGCCCUUCACUUUCUUUUCCCCUCCUCAAUCAUCCCCCAUAAUCAUGGUUGAACCGCCUUAGCGCGCGUUUUCGUAGCAGUUCCUGUUGGCCCAGAUCAACACGCCGAGGAUGAGGGCUGAUAGAAUGAACCUGUUCCCCUGUUUUCUCUGAAUUUAAAUGGUGUAUGACAAGAUGGAGUCUGCAUGCUAGAGCCGCCGGCUCUCGGAUGGAAGGAGGCACCACAUGCUAGACCAUAUGCUGCAUCGCAGGAUCAAUUUGCCGUUGCAAGGUCGAAUGUGUGAAGAGAUAUCUUUGGGUUUUUAAUUAUGUUUUCUCCGCUGCGUCAGGGGAAGUAUUUUUGUUGGAUUAGAAAGGGUCUCCUAUUGGGCUGUGCUAGGAGAGGGGAGCUCAGCCGUCUGGAGCGGAUGAAGGAGUGGUUUGCGUGCGGGCGGGCGAGGUGGGUCUCGGGGGCUUGACGAAAAAAAGGGAGGAAAUAAGACGGAACGGUCCGUAUUUUUUACUCCCUCCGAUCCUAAAUUGUUGUCGAAAUAUUACAUGUAUGUAGACACUUUUUAUGAAUAGAUACAUCCAUAUUUGGACAAAUUUGAGUCAAGAAUUUAGAAUCAGAGGGAGUACAUUGGUACAUAUAUAGAUAUAGAUAGAUUCGGUAUAGGUAAUGGGUCAGCUGGCUUAGUAGGCCUAAUAUACAUUCAAUCUUGGGGGCCCAUAAAUUUUAUGGGAUAUAUAUAAAUAAAUUCGGUGCAGGUAAUGGGCCAGCCGGUUUAGUAGGCCUAAUAUACAUGUAAUCCUGAGGGCCCACUAAUUUUAUGUGAAGUUUGACAGACGACGGUGAAAAAAACAGUUCGUAUUUUUUAGAUAGCUAUAGAUUAAGCCACUGAAAAAAUCUAUUGGCGGUUAAAUUGCUUCUAUUAAGGUUGUCAUUUGUCAAUCGACAAUCGACAAUUGUUCAGAUUGCAUUUUGUAUCAACACUGCAACUACAGUAGGCGCCUCUCCUUUUUCACGGUUUCACCAUAUCCAUUGUUUAACUCUUUAGGUUUAAGGAACACUAGAUCACUAGCAACUUCUUUUAUCUGAUCUGUAGCAUGUGUGCUAUAUUAUUUUCUCAUAAAUUUGAUAAAAAAAAUUACUAGACUCUCGGCAAUGGCAAGAAGUUCCAGGAUCGAGGAUAGACUGAUCAAGUCUAUCGUGGUUGUUGGAGAAACGAGAAGCAAUGAUUACUGCAUUGGAUUUGUUGCAUGGGAGAAAGAUAGUGAUGCCACCUUCGUGGUAACUCAGUCGUCCUUUAUUGACGGCAAAAGGGAUAGACUAAAGAUAUGUUUUUUUGACAAGGUUGACUUACCGGCCUGGGUUGAACGAAUUGAGGGGCGAUUCUGCAUGCUGAGAACAGAGCACCAUCGCUUCUGCAAGAGAGUUCAGUGGGCAGAAGAUCGUAUCAAUUCCUUGUCUGAGGCUAUUAUCUUUCUGCCCUCCUCACCAAGCACUCUCUCUUCGAUUCAUAUACCUGUCACUCUUGAGUCAGCAGAGUCGUAUCACUCUUGUCCCACAGACUUUGUUGAUGGUUCUGAUAAUUUGUUUCUGGUAGCAUGUCCUUAUACGGAGAAGACCUUUGAAGGAUACAAUAGGUUAAUAGCUGCUCCCAUCUUUGAUUUGGAUGAGAGAUCAUUAGGCAUGGGCAUUUUUGACUGCCGUCGUGGUAACGGUGCUGAGAUGAAGGUUUGUUUAUGGGCAAGGGGGGUCAUGGCUCUAAUAAACAGACUCAUUCCACCACCACCACCACCGAAAGCAAAGAGGAAAGGAGCAGAAGAUGGUUCGAAAGAUAAGAAGAAGCGCAAAAAAUGAGUUGCUUUUAGCAUCUCUACAUGAUAAGAAGUAUGAAACCUCGUCUCCUUCAAAUGAGGUUUCUUAGAUCUACCAUUACGUACCGGAUCUUCAUCGAGUUAAUCUUUCUCUGUACCAAGCUCUUGUUUUAAUUAUGUUCACUGAACAAUGUAAUAUUCUGGCAUGUGAGAACAUUUGUGUAAUAUGUAUUUGCAAUGGUGGUGUUUAUAAUUGGGCAUGUGCACUUUCUAUGUGCAGCUACGCUAGCUAUUUCA